UACGUAGGGACCAAGCGUUGUUCGGAUUUACUGGGCGUAAAGCGUGCGUAGACGGUAGCGUAAGUCAGAUGUGAAAGCCCCGGGCUCAACCUGGGAAUUGCAUUUGAGACUGCUCUGCUCGGGUGCGGAAGAGGGAAGCGGAAUUUCCGGUGUAGCGGUGAAAUGCGUAGAUAUCGGAAGGAACACCAGUGGCGAAAGCGGCUUCCUGGUCCGACACCGACGUUCAGGCACGAAAGCGUGGGGAGCAAACAGG
rnacentral:rRNA from 1 species